UGGCGGCCGCGGGGCUCUGAGGCGGCUGCAGGAAGCAGUAGGCAAAGAGACAGUUCUCUAGCGAGUUUAAGUGCCAAUUAAUAAUAUGCAUAAGCUCUAAACCUGUAUUAAGGGUUAAUGCCUGCAAAGAACGUUUAGAAUUGACUACAGAUCGUGUAUAACACGUUUGAAGCAUAGCUUCAGGUUUCUGAUGUUUGGAUCCUGGUUGUGAAGAUGCUCGAAGAUAAGUACAAGUUAUAGGAAGGCUUAGAGCAUGUCUUUUAAUGCUGAGGGAAUCUUGAUUUUGUGUUGUAGUUCUAGUUGAUGCAGUGGAUAAACUGAAGAGCAGCUAAUUGUUUAGAAUACAUUAAGCUUAACUCUGUUGCUAGCAAAACUUCGAGACUUUGAAUGUAAACUUACCUCUAUGGAUUGUAUUAGCUCGUGGCUUAGACUGUGAGAUUUUGGAGCAAUGGUUUAUAUCUCUGUACUAAGUAGAGUACCACUCAAUAAAUAAACUUGUGACAAAACUAAUUGGUCUUGUUUCUGAUUUCUAGCAGAAAAAUUCUGUCCACCUGGGUGUAUCUGUUGCAGCUGGCGUGCCUAGGAAGUUCUUGGCACAUCAUCUAUCUAACUACUAAGCUGAAGACUCGUGUAGCAGCUGCCGUUUCAGUGUGGCAGAGAGCUUUGGUUGCCAUCAUCUGGAACCAAGUGAUCAGUUUGUCUUCCAAAACUUGAAGUAAGUGUUUGAGAUCAAGUGUGGGUUCAGUUACUGCUCUGGGUGGUAACAUUACUUCAUGUGGCUGCUGAAGGAGAAUAUUCUUAUGUACGUUUUCACAGGCUAACUGGUAUUUUAAAUGCCAUGAGUAAAGGUGAAAGAUUAGAUCUAGCUGUCAUUCAUGUGUAAUCAAACUUUGUUUCAGCUUUCCAUAUAAAUUGUUCGCAACAGACACAACUUGGUACUAGAAAUGUAUCCUGUGUGUAUAUCCACGUGGGCUGUGCCAGUGCAUCAACCAUUUUAGGACAGUAAACGAGCACAGUUAAAAUAAAGCUGGUUUUCAAAGCAUCUCUACUGCAUGCAGCUGCUUUUUGCCUGGCCCCCAACAUGUAGGCUUUAUUGUUGGUCUAAACAGUUUACCUGUGUGAUUUUUGACCUUUCGAAGUGAGAAGAGAUGCUUUCUAUGGGAUUGGAAGAGUGGUUCUCAGUCACUAGUCUACAGAGCAAAUACAGUUCUAGUGUUCCUGAAAUAAACUCAAGUUGAAAACUUUUAAACUUGCAUGUGAAACUCUAGACACUCCUAACGCUAAUACUUCCUAACAGAGUCAAAUCUUGUUUAUAAAUAGUAGUGCCUGAGUAGCUUCCCAUCUAAAUCAAACGUAUGGGGUGAAACUUGAAUGCAAAACUGCUUUGGGGAGUCUCAGUUACAUAAUUCAAACUUUAACAUUUAAAUGAUGUUGCAUGCUGUUUGAAGAAUCUUUAUUGCAAUCUUCCAAAUAAGUUAAAUUUCUGGCAGAAUAUACUCCUCAAAUACCGAACUUCUGGUACCUGCUUGGGAACAACUAUGGGUGCACUUCUUCAGCCUUUGGUGAAACUGGUAAACAUACUGAAUAGGUGUCUGUUUUUCAUAUCUAAGAUGUUGACUGAUGCUGGAGUUGGAGAGCUAGAAUUGAUUGUUUUUCUUUUGGUAAAGAGAAGUAAUUCUAGUUGGCCUAUUUUCUCAAUACCCAUGUUAGAAUAUUCAGGAUAGUGUUGUUUUUUGUUCUUAAAGUAACUUUCAAUCAGCCAAUCUGAAGUAAGAGUCCUCCUUGCUCAUGCUAUCUGUUGCCAGUUUAUACCUUGACAGGGUUUUUUUCCUUCUGCAGGAGGAUUAGUUUAAAAAGCAUGA